AGGGUGGUGGUUAAUACCCGUUAUGUGUGACGUUACUGACAGAAGAAGCACCGGCUAACUCCGUGCCAGCAGCCGCGGUAAUACGGAGGGUGCGAGCGUUAAUCGGAAUUACUGGGCGUAAAGCGUACGCAGGCGGUUUGUUAAGCGAGAUGUGAAAGCCCCGGGCUCAACCUGGGAACUGCAUUUCGAACUGGCAAACUAGAGUGUGAUAGAGGGUGGUAGAAUUUCAGGUGUAGCGGUGAAAUGCGUAGAGAUCUGAAGGAAUACCGAUGGCGAAGGCAGCCACCUGGGUCAACACUGACGCUCAUGUACGAAAGCGUGGGGAGCAAACGGGAUUAGAUACCCCGGUAGUCCACGCCGUAAACGAUGUCUACUAGAAGCUCGGAGCCUCGGUUCUGUUUUUCAAAGCUAACGCAUUAAGUAGACCGCCUGGGGAGUACGGCCGCAAGGUUAAAACUCAAAUGAAUUGACGGGGGCCGGG
rnacentral:rRNA from 1 species